rnacentral:rRNA from 1 species
AGAGUUUGAUCAUGGCUCAGAUUGAACGCUGGCGGCAGGCUUAACACAUGCAAGUCGAACGGUAACAGGGAGGAGCUUGCUUCUUUGCUGACGAGUGGCGGACGGGUGAGUAAUGCUUGGGAAUCUGGCUUAUGGAGGGGGAUAACUACGGGAAACUGUAGCUAAUACCGCGUAAUAUCUUCGGAUUAAAGGGUGGGACUUUCGGGCCACCUGCCAUAAGAUGAGCCCAAGUGGGAUUAGGUAGUUGGUGGGGUAAAGGCCUACCAAGCCGACGAUCUCUAGCUGGUCUGAGAGGAUGACCAGCCACACUGGAACUGAGACGCGGUCCAGACUCCUACGGGAGGCAGCAGUGGGGAAUAUUGCACAAUGGGGGGAACCCUGAUGCAGCCAUGCCGCGUGAAUGAAGAAGGCCUUCGGGUUGUAAAGUUCUUUCGGUGAUGAGGAAGGUGUUUGUUUUAAUAGAGCAAGCAAUUGACGUUAGUCACAGAAGAAGCACCGGCUAACUCCGUGCCAGCAGCCGCGGUAAUACGGAGGGUGCGAGCGUUAAUCGGAAUGACUGGGCGUAAAGGGCACGCAGGCGGUGACUUAAGUGAGAUGUGAAAGCCCCGAGCUUAACUUGGGAAUUGCAUUUCAUACUGGGUCGCUAGAGUAUUUUAGGGAGGGGUAGAAUUCCACGUGUAGCGGUGAAAUGCGUAGAGAUGUGGAGGAAUACCGAAGGCGAAGGCAGCCCCUUGGGAAUAUACUGACGCUCAUGUGCGAAAGCGUGGGGAGCAAACAGGAUUAGAUACCCUGGUAGUCCACGCUGUAAACGCUGUCGAUUUGGGGAUUGGGCUUUAAGCUUGGUGCCCGUAGCU